GACGAACGCUGGCGGCGUGCUUAACACAUGCAAGUCGAACGGUGAAGGGACCAGCUUGCUGGUUCUGGAUGAGUGGCGAACGGGUGAGUAACACGUGAGUAACCUGCCCCCUUCUUCUGGAUAACCGCAUGAAAGUGUGGCUAAUACGGGAUAUUCUGGGUCUGUCGCAUGGCGGGCCCGGGAAAGAUAUUGCUUCGGUGGGGGAUGGGCUCGCGGCCUAUCAGCUUGUUGGUGGGGUGAUGGCCUACCAAGGCGGUGACGGGUAGCCGGCCUGAGAGGGGGGACGGUCACACUGGGACUGAGACCCGGCCCAGACUGCUACGGGAGGCAGCAGUGGGGAAUAUUGCACAAUGGGCGCAAGCCUGAUGCAGCGACGCCGCGUGAGGGAUGGAGGCCUUCGGGUUGUAAACCUCUUUCGCCAGUGAAGCAGGCCUGCUCCUUGUGGGUGGGUUGACGGUAGCUGGAGAAGAAGCGCCGGCUAACUACGUG
rnacentral:rRNA from 1 species